GGAUCCUGGUGCCACCUCCAUCCCAGGGGAUCCUGGUGCCACCUCCGUCCCAGGGGAGCCUUCCCUGGCCGUUUCUUCCCCUUUCUGGGGGACAUUUUCCCCCUCAGCUCCCACACCCCAGUAACCAGCUCUGCCACAGAGGCUCCAUAGCCUGGCUGGGGGCUGGAAUGUGAAUUCCAAGAUUUUGCCAGGACUUUUUGCACCAGCUCAGUGAGGAACCCACAAAGCCACUGCUGGCUCCAGCCUGGUGCUGGAGGAGAAAACACCAACCCAGGGAGCCAAACGUGGAGAUUUGUGUGCCCAGAACUCCCUCCCUGCCAGGUUUUGAUGAUUCCUUUCUUUUCCUUUCCCCUUUCCCUUCAAUCCCAGAGCAGAGCUGUCCCUGGGAUGUCCCUCACAGCUCCCUGUGAGGGUGGCUGGGGCCCUGCUGGCCCCACAGCUGUGGGGUGGGCAGCAAAUCUGGGCAGCAGUCACCCCACCCAUUCUGAGCACCAGGUGACAAUGGGACAGAACAGCACCUGAGCUGCUGGCACAGCUGAUCCUCACCACCCUGACUGCAGCAGAGCCCUCCCAGCCCUCUGCUUUGGAGCCAUCCUGAUGUACAGAAACAACCCCAAAUCUGCAGCUCCAGCUCAAUCCAGUCACUCCACAAGAAAGAACCUUUCAUGCUCGCUGUUGUAGGAGACAAAAGCUGCAGCCUGCCUCGCUCCUCCUGACACUUGUAAAGCUUUUCAAACCAGGCACACUAGAUUUGUCAGAACAAAGCUGACAUUUUAAAUGAAGAGUAAUGAUGAAAUGUCUAAAGAUGUGCUGCAGAGACGCUCUCACAGAGAGAGUGCUGGCAAUUUGAAUACAACAGCGAUGUGUCAUCGUGGAAAAGUCAAAGCAGGGAUUCUUUCAUGUGGCUAAAGAGGGGGAUAAAUGAUGGAAAAACUGCAGGAGCUGUGAUGAGAAGGGGGAAUUCAUCAGUCCUGGGUUUGGGGCUUCACAUGUGUGGGCACUGCAUUGGGAAUUGCACUUGUGCUGCUCCUGACGUGAGCACAGACAUUCCGUGGACAAAGAGAGGAUGGAGAGCAGAGUUUGGUUCUCCAAAAAGCCAAAGCAAACGAAGCCUGUUCAGUUCUGCUGAGCUGAAUUUGUAGAAUCCCCCCUCAGCAUCCCAGCUGCUCUAACAGCACUGAUAACGGUAAAUUUAUUGCACUGGGGGGGUCUGAGAGAGAGGUGCAGGACAGGACUUGAUUGUUAAAUAAUUUCAGUGACUGGGGAGUUGCACUUGUGCUGUUCCUGCUGUGAGCACAGACAUUCCGUGGACAAAGAGCGGGUGGAGAGCAGAGUUUGGUUCUCCAAAAAGCCAAAGCAAAUAAAAAUUCAGUUCUGUUGAGCUGAAUUUGUAGAAUCCCCCCUCAGCACUCCAGCUGCUCUAACAGCACUGAUAAUGGUAAAUUUAUUGCACUGGGGGGUCUGAGAGGGAGGUCCAGGGCAGGACUUGAUUGUUAAACUCCAAUAAUUGCAGGGACUGGGGAGUUGCACUUGUGCUGUUCCUGGCCAGAGCACAGACAUUCUGUGGAAAAAGAGUGCAUGGAGAUCUAAGUUUGGUUCUCCAAAAAGCCAAAGCAAAUAAAAAUUCAGUUCUGUUGAGCUGAAUUUUUAGAAUCUCCCCUCAGCAUCCCAGCUGCUCUAACAGCACUGAUAAUGGUAAAUUUAUUGGAAACAGCUGAGGCUCAUGGAAGAGCUGAAAUGUGUGGAAAUGCAGCUCAGCAUUUAACACCCUGCACUGGCCAGGGCAGGCCAGGGGAGUCCUGGGCUCUUUACAGGGGUGUCUGGCCCUGGAACAUCCACAUGGAUGAAUUUCAGUGAGAAUCCUGAGGUUUUAUUCUGCUUUUUUCAUCUCCUUCCCAGUGGAAGCUAAGCAUGCCUAAUGCUGUAACAUGGGGACAUAAUAAGAGGUUUUAAUCCAAUUUUCAACAGCUCUGGAUGCAAAGGAAAUUUGUGAAGCAUAUCUAAAGUAACAAAUGCCUGAGCUGGAGACCAUUUUCCAUUUUGAAAGUGAAAAUUUAUUGGAAAGCCCCAAAGAGCCACUUUUCAGGACAAGGAGAGAGUGGGGAAGCCUGAGAAUUCAGUCCUGCUCUAUCCUCUGCUGAAUCCUAGAACAGAUUUCCCUUUCAGGGCUGUAAUUUCCCUUUAUUACACAAACUGAGCCCCUCAUUUGGUUCUUCGUCUCCCUGAUCCAUAAUCAAGGGGAGAUAAUUAAACACAAAACCUCCAGUGACGAGUCAGUCCAACGUGGCAGGACACAGGGAUGUCUCUGGAGCUCCAACAAAGUAAGGAGGGCCCUUUGGGGCACUUUUUUUGCACCUCAGUCUGUCCCUGCAUUCUCUUUUCCACCUCUGCCUCCCUUGCAGAGCAGGAGGAGUUUUGUUUAACAAGGCAGGUGCUGACCCACUUUAAACUGGCACUGGAGGGAAAGGUGCUUUAAUUCCAGCCUCUCCAGGGCUGGGUUCAGGGAGCUGAGCCGGCUCUGAUGGGACAGCCCCCAUCAGGUUUUGGUUUCUUUUCUCUUUUUGGAGUUCACAGGUCCAGGAGGCUCCGUUUGGAGCAGGCUCUGCAGAGUUCAGCACAGGAACUCCCUCUUGGGACCCACGGGAGAGCACUGCCAGCCCUGGCUGAGCAGCAAUCCCCGUUACUUAAUGACUGACUGGUUCCUCUAAUUAGCCCAGCUAAUUGGGGCAGGCAGGGUUCCGUGGGCUCAGUGCUGCCUGCAGCACGGAUCCUCUGACAGGUGAAGUCACUUUUUCAGGUGUGACAUCAGAGAUUCCGAGGUGUCACAGUCCCUGUCGGGGCCAGAACUGAAGGAGCUCUUUGGGAAAUCCCACAGCUGGAUUUGCAUGGCUUGGAUUCCAUUUCCCCACCCUCCAGCUUCAUCAUCUGCAGGCUGCCAAUAUUUCACUGCUUCUCAGGCUCCCAAAGACAAAGAGAAUUAAUUCCAGUGGAUGGUGGCUGAAUAAGAAGAUGAAGGAUGGAUCUUGCAUUCCCAGCACUCCCAGCUCAGGAACAGGAGAUUUUCCAAGCACAGGCACAGCAAGAGUGGCUUCCUUCAGCUCUCACCAGCAGCCACCCCGCUCCCAUGCAUGGAUUUCACCUCUGCCAGCAGCUCAGCUCCUGUUCUGCAAAACUGCCCAGCAGACAGGGCUUUCAGCAGGUCACUGCUCGCUGCCUGGAUGACAAAAACCCGACCUGCAGGGCUUUGCAGAAUGAGGCUUCCUCUGGAUGCCUGCGGGAAGCAGCACAAGAGCACAACAAUCACAGUUCUGGACACUCAGGGAGUUCAAAGGCUCGGGCUGCAGCCCCAGCCUUGUCCAGCAUUGAUCUGAGAACAUCAGGGCACUGAAAAUGAGAAUUCUGCCAAUGUGGGAGCUGUAAUCACCUCCCACAACAUCCACCCCUUCAGCCCUCAGAGUUGCUGUAAACUUUUUCAAUAGCUCAUGGAUUAGAAAAGCCAUGCCCUGAGUUAUAACUCCUCUGUAUUAAAGUGAUCAUAAUAGAUUAGUGAUAAAUACAAAGUAAUUGAUUUUUUUUUUACAUCUCUUCCCUCCCCCAAACAAGCUUGAACUAAUAACAAUAAUUACAUGAAAGUGUUGCCAUCGGGAAGUUUGUGCAUUUCUGGCAGUGAAAUCAAUUGUUCCGAGGAAGGAUUUUAUCUGAGGAAUUAAUCAUUGCUGCCUCCAAUGACUGCACCCCCAACGUUCUCCAGGAUGUAGAACAUGCAGGGGAGCAUCUUCAUUAGGAAAUGAGGCUGUGCACAGCCCCGGAGCCUCGGGAGGGGAAAUGGGUGAGGAAAGUUCCCUGGUGGAGCCCAGGGACACCAGCCCGGCCAGGCUGAGGCUGCUGGGAGCUGCUGGAAGCGUUUCUGUCCCCACAAAGAAAUUAUUAUCCUGUGCUUCUGGCCAUGUCCCUCCCCCAGCUCGUAUCCCACGGCUCUCCUUCCUUCCUGGAGCUUGCAGCAGGUCCCAAGGGACACCCUGAGCAUCCCUGCCAGGCACCUGCACCCCCUUCUCCCAGAGCCCAAAUCCUUUAUUUGUAACUGAGCUAAAUUGCAAGUUUCCACUUCUAAGUGAUACAAAUUUGCUUUUGUGUGCAACUGGGGGGUGCUGGGCUGGCAAAAAGCUUUCCCACAGCCAUUCUUUAAUUACCUUAUUUAAAGAAUCCUUCAGGGACCAAGGAAAACUAUGUAUUUUAAACAUUAAAGUAUUAUUAGUAGUAAGCAGUAGAAGUGAUUGUUCUGGAAUAGAAAAACAUUUCCUGAAAGAAUCUGUGCCAGCCUUAAUUACACUCCCAUUGUAUUUUAUCUUCCUGCUCCCCACACUGAGACAAAGGGUGGGUGGAAAAUAAUUGAAACAAGGUGAAAAUGAGUGCUCAUUAAAUUGCAGACUACACAAGUACUCAUUCCAUGUGAGAGGGCUGUAAAUAUGACUUUUAAUGAAGUUAUGACAUGCUUGCCAAUAAAAGUCAUUUACUUCACAGUAUUACAGUUAAUUAUACACAGCUGGAGCCAUUUAUUGCCCAUCCCUUGUUAACUUUGCCUGGGCUCAUUAACCCUUUCACAGCUCUGGGCCUGAAGGAGAAGGCAGAGAGGCUUUUCAGGAGGAAUUUCUGGAGGAGGAGUGGGUGCUGCAGAGAACAGAGAGUGCAAAGCUCCAGCUCAGAUUGCACACCCAGGUGCAAACCUGGAGGAAUCCCUGCAGUUUGUCCUCUGUUCCUCUCACCUGUUCAAGGGGCUGGAAAAUGGAAUUUCCCUGGAUUUGUCUGGUUUGCUGCAGCUCAUGGCAGGUCCUCUGUGCUGUUCCCAAGAGCUUUCAGCUCCCCCAAUAUUUGCCACCCUUGUCCUGGAGUGUUUGUGAGUUGGGUUUGUCGUGAUCUGACCCACUCAAACCCAAAACUUGUGUUAUUCUGAACUGGGCAGCACCCACAUUUAAAAACCCCAAACUCAAACUGCCCAUCCAGCACCUUAAACAACUACAA